CCUACGGUGGUCAGCAGUGAGGAAUAUUGGUCAAUGGGCGAGAGCCUGAACCAGCCAAGUCGCGUGAAGGAUGACGGCCCUACGGGUUGUAAACUUCUUUUGUCAGGGAGCAAUUGAGUCCACGUGUGUGCUUAGCGAGAGUACCUGAAGAAAAAGCAUCGGCGAACUCCGUGCCAGCAGCCGCGGUAAUACGGGGGAUGCGAGCGUUAUCCGGUUUUAUUGGGUUUAAAGGGUGCGGAGGCGGAAUAUAAAGUCAGCGGUAAAAAUUCGGGGCUCAACCCCGUCGUGACGUUGAAACUGAUGUUCUUGAGUGGGCGAGAGGUAUGCGGAAUGCGUGGGGUAGCGGUGAAAUGCAUAGAUAUCACGCAGAAAUCCGAUUGCGAAGGCAGCAUACCGGCGCCCAACUGACGCUGAAGCACGAAAGCGUGGGUAUCGAACAGGAUUAGAUACCCUAGUAGUC
rnacentral:rRNA from 1 species